rnacentral:rRNA from 1 species
UACGAAGGGGGCUAGCGUUGUUCGGAAUUACUGGGCGUAAAGCGCACGUAGGCGGACUGUCAAGUCAGGGGUGAAAUCCCGGGGCUCAACCUCGGAACUGCCUUUGAUACUGUCAGUCUAGAGUCCGGAAGAGGUGGGUGGAAUUCCUAGUGUAGAGGUGAAAUUCGCAGAUAUUAGGAAGAACACCAGUGGCGAAGGCGGCUCACUGGUCCGGUACUGACGCUGAGGUGCGAAAGCGUGGGGAGCAAACAGG